rnacentral:tRNA from 2 species
CCCUCGGUCGUCUAGUUGGUUUAUGGCGUCCGGCUGUAAUUUGAGAGAUAACCGGAAUGUCGCGCGUUCGACUCGCGCCUGAGGGA